UGCAAGGUCUCAUAUGAUUCCUCCUUGGUUUGCUCUAGUUCAUCCAAAAACUGGAACACCCAUUAAUGCUACUCUUUUGGUAACUAUACUUAGUGCUAUUGUAGCAUUUUUCACUAGUUUGGACGUUUUGUCAAGUGUCUUUUCCUUGUGUACACUCCUUAUUUUCAUGCUUAUGGCUGGUGCAUUGCUUGUGANNNUGCUUGUGAGGCGAUAUCAUGUGAAAGAUGUUACUUCAAAGAGUCAUUUGGUUAAAUUUCUUAUGUCUUUAUUCAUCAUUAUUGGUUCUUCAAUUGGAGUAACUGCUAUCUGGAGUUCAAAUGGGAGAGGAUGGAUAGGAUAUGUGGUGACUUUUGUUCUUUGGUUUUUGGGGACCUUGGGGAUGGCGUUGCUAGAAAAGCAACGUGUUCCAAAGGUUUGGGGAGUUCCUCUGGUUCCGU
rnacentral:misc_RNA from 1 species